AGAGACGCUAAGACAGAAGAACUACCGCGUCUGUAAAAUGAUUAAUAUGGUGAUUAUUACUUCAAGGAAAUGAUAAAGAAAUGAUCAUAAAUGUUCUUCCUUGAGCUGCGGCACCCCGCUGUAGUCCAUAAUGGACUGGCCUGAGGUCUCUCUACAAACAAGCGUCUGCUGGAAGAGAGUAGGUGAGUUGUGUUUAGUCUCUUUGUUAAAGAAACUGACAAGCAGAGAGUCUGUCAGGUCAUAUGUCUACAGUCAGUAAAUGGUGUCAUGUCCCUUUAAAUCAAACGCCCACUCAAACAUCUGCUGGUAAAGACAGAAAGUUCCAGAACCUGAUCCUUCUUUCCUUCUUCUUCUUCUUUUUGAGGUUACCCCGUCGUCACUUGGCGCCCUCGCUGAAUCCCUCUCUCCGUACGCCAGCACAAACAGCGGUUAUUGGCUCCUUCUCCACUCCUUUGAAACGCUGACCAGCUUUCUGACACCGAGCUUUGGAAACCGCCACCGAGCUCACGCUGCGAGCCGCCAGGCGCUCAGCUGGAUUCUGGGAGGAGCUGGGAGGGGGGGUCGGUUCUCAGCUGAGAGGGAUUAUGGGUAACAACCGAGAAGUUUGACAUCAUACUUUCACUGAGCGACAAGACAACUGUAGGAACACAUGCAGGUCCUGAGGGAAUCUAGUUCUACAUCUAUACACCUUUAUAUCUAUACACCUAUACAGCUGUACAUCUAUACAUCUAAAGAUCUACCUGUCUAGACAUCUAUACAUCUGUAGAUCUAUGCAUAUAUACAUCUAAACGUUGUACAUUCAUACAUCAUACAAGUAUACAUCAUAUAUUUAUACAUCAUACAUCUAUGCAUCUUACAUCUAUACAUCGUACAUCUAUACAUCUGUAGAUCUAGAACCGAGUCCUUUCAGGGUCCAGGUGACCUCAGAGGUCAGAGGUCAUGAGAGUUCAGGGCUUGAAAAGUGCGACAGUUUGAACAUCUACGUGUGAACAUCUAUAAACCUGCACAGGUGAGUCCAGGCGGAGUUUACCUGAGUUUCCUCAUAGAUCCUCACACCUACGGUGGUCUAUGAUAUUUUAUAUCUAUAUCGCCGUCGUCACGCUCGGCGUCGUUCACAGAUUUACCUGACUCCUCCCCCUCCUGACGGACUCACCUUUACCUGAGCGGAGAGUCGAUAAACAAACAUCAACGACAGUCAGAGAAACGAACGAAAACUUUAUUGAUCAACAGGAUAAAAAACAAAAGUUUAUAAUCAAUACGAGUUUAUUGAUCAGAGCAGGUGAAAAUCUGAUCAGAUCGACAUAAAAAAGAUUAAAAUCACCGUCUGAAAUCAUCGAACACAAACUUUUAUUUCUACCAAACAGGAUUUAAAGUUUUCUUUGACUUCUGUUUAUUCAUGUUAUUUAAGUUUCCUUUAUUUUGAUACAUUUAUGUCCUUCCUGUUUUAUUUUGAAAGAUCUCUAACCCUUGUGUCUGUCUUCUUUUUUUAAAAAUAUAUUUGUUUUAAUUUUUGUACUUUUUAAAUUUAAUUAAUUUAUUAAAUUUUAUUUAUAUUAUUUAUUUAUUUAUUUAUUUUGUUUCUGUCUUCUAUUUUAAAACACAAACUUAUUUAAUUUUUAAAAUGUUUUAAUGUUUUUUACAUUUAUUUACUUAUUAUUUAUUUAUUCCAUUUUUUUUGUUUGUUUCUUUCUUCUUUUUUUAAUAUAUAUUUUAUUUUUUUUACAUUUUUUAAAAUAAUUUAUAAAGUUUUUAUUUAAAAUUUUUUUAACCUUUUUUUUGUUUGUUUCUGUCUUCUAGGUUCGUUCCUGUCCGGUCUGCCCCGCCCCCGGGUUCGUCCCACCUGUCUCCCAUCACCCUCGUUUCCUCUCCUUGUGAGUCUCACCGUCUCGUUCAGUGUCAUUGUUAACCCGUGUUUGACCUUUGACCUGUCUGUUCCUCCUCUCUGAGCCUCGUUUCGUGACGAUCAGUGCGGUGAUAAAAAUCCCCAAAAACACACACAGCUCUUAUUUUCCCUGCGACCUCAGCAGGAUGACGCGUCACUCAUCUCAGAUCCAAGAGUCGAACCUUCACUCCUCAGUUAGAGUCCAAACACCUGAUUCAGUUCUUCAUGAAGAGGGACGUCUGUGACCUUCAGGACUUUAAAUUUACAGAAAUAUAAAUAAAAAGACAAAAGAACUUUUAUCAUCUCAAAUAUCAAACUCAUUAAUCCUAAAACACGAUUGUUUAAAUUAGUAACACCAUCACUAUCUGGUGAUUUUAACUGAAAUAAUAAACCCAAGAAAAACUCCUGGUCAUCCAAAUUUAUCAAAAUAGGGCCGAACGUGAAAAAUUAAAGUCGUUUUCUUUUAUUUUUAACUGUUUAGUGUCCAAAGGGAGUUUUUGUCGUAUUUUUUGUCGUUUUUGUCGCUCCAUCAUUAGUUUUUGUUUUUGUGUUUCUCUGUAGUUGUUUUUUUUUUUGUUGUUUUUGUGUCUCUGUCGUCAGUUUUUGUCGUAUUUUUGUUUCUCUGAAAAUCACCCUGCGAUCGUCUUCUAGGGUUAAAUCACAGAAAUAUAAAUAAGGAGACAAAAAAAACUUUAUUUGAAAUGAUUUGAAAUGUCAAACUCAUUAAAAGUGAGGAGUGACAGCAGUGUUGGGUUGAUGGCUCAGACGGCCACAGGGAGGCGCUGUAAGGUCAGAGAAGCUGCAGAGAAGCUGCAGAGCAGAGCGGUGGUUCUCUG